GGCGGCGUGCCUAAUACAUGCAAGUCGAACGAGUUCUCGUUGAUGAUCGGUGCUUGCACCGAGAUUCAACAUGGAACGAGUGGCGGACGGGUGAGUAACACGUGGGUAACCUGCCCUUAAGUGGGGGAUAACAUUUGGAAACAGAUGCUAAUACCGCAUAGAUCCAAGAACCGCAUGGUUCUUGGCUGAAAGAUGGCGUAAGCUAUCGCUUUUGGAUGGACCCGCGGCGUAUUAGCUAGUUGGUGAGGUAAUGGCUCACCAAGGCGAUGAUACGUAGCCGAACUGAGAGGUUGAUCGGCCACAUUGGGACUGAGACACGGCCCAAACUCCUACGGGAGGCAGCAGUAGGGAAUCUUCCACAAUGGACGCAAGUCUGAUGGAGCAACGCCGCGUGAGUGAAGAAGGCUUUCGGGUCGUAAAACUCUGUUGUUGGAGAAGAAUGGUCGGCAGAGUAACUGUUGUCGGCGUGACGGUAUCCAACCAGAAAGCCACGGCUAACUACGUGCCAGCAGCCGCGGUAAUACGUAGGUGGCAAGCGUUAUCCGGAUUUAUUGGGCGUAAAGCGAGCGCAGGCGGUUUUUUAAGUCUGAUGUGAAAGCCCUCGGCUUAACCGAGGAAGCGCAUCGGAAACUGGGAAACUUGAGUGCAGAAGAGGACAGUGGAACUCCAUGUGUAGCGGUGAAAUGCGUAGAUAUAUGGAAGAACACCAGUGGCGAAGGCGGCUGUCUGGUCUGUAACUGACGCUGAGGCUCGAAAGCAUGGGUAGCGAACAGGAUUAGAUACCCUGGUAGUCCAUGCCGUAAACGAUGAAUGCUAGGUGUUGGAGGGUUUCCGCCCUUCAGUGCCGCAGCUAACGCAUUAAGCAUUCCGCCUGGGGAGUACGACCGCAAGGUUGAAACUCAAAGGAAUUGACGGGGGCCCGCACAAGCGGUGGAGCAUGUGGUUUAAUUCGAAGCAACGCGAAGAACCUUACCAGGUCUUGACAUCUUUUGAUCACCUGAGAGAUCAGGUUUCCCCUUCGGGGGCAAAAUGACAGGUGGUGCAUGGUUGUCGUCAGCUCGUGUCGUGAGAUGUUGGGUUAAGUCCCGCAACGAGCGCAACCCUUAUGACUAGUUGCCAGCAUUUAGUUGGGCACUCUAGUAAGACUGCCGGUGACAAACCGGAGGAAGGUGGGGAUGACGUCAAAUCAUCAUGCCCCUUAUGACCUGGGCUACACACGUGCUACAAUGGAUGGUACAACGAGUUGCGAGACCGCGAGGUCAAGCUAAUCUCUUAAAGCCAUUCUCAGUUCGGACUGUAGGCUGCAACUCGCCUACACGAAGUCGGAAUCGCUAGUAAUCGCGGAUCAGCACGCCGCGGUGAAUACGUUCCCGGGCCUUGUACACACCGCCCGUCACACCAUGAGAGUUUGUAACACCCGAAGCCGGUGGCGUAACCCUUUUAGGGAGCGAGCCGUCUAAGGUGGGACAAAUGAUUAGGGUGAA
rnacentral:rRNA from 2 species